rnacentral:lncRNA from 7 species
GGAAGGAUCUAUUCCUGGAGAUUGCUCUUUGUGGAGUUUUUGUGAGCAUACAACAUUGAUCUGGUAACAUUACACUUCCAGUGCAUUACUAAAACAAAACACAAGAUCCCUGAAAACUGAAAUAUGGUCAAGAAGAAAAACUGUCAAUUAAUUUAAGUGUAAAAGGAAAAUGUCAUGGUUUUGCUUCACCUGCUGGGCUCUUGGCUGGUCAACAUUACACUUCUUAGCCUCCUUGGUUUAACUGAGAGAAGGGCAAGAGAUGCUUCAACAACAGCUGUUUACAGGAAUAUUCUGGUGCUGUAGGCCUACUCCCAUGCAGGAGUCAUAAUAAACUCCUAUGGCUGAUGACUGAAGCAAGACUAUCUCAGAUUGAAAGGAACCUUUUAUUCAUGCAGGGAGGACAGUUAACCACUGAAACGACUUGUCAGGGAUACGGUAUCUGUGCAACUUGGUAUCUUCAUAGUAAUCUCACAAGUGCUGAAAGAUCUGAUAUUACUUAGAGAAGUUGAUGCAGUGUGUAGGUACUCUUCUCAGAGUUGUAGUCAGAAAUGAGUUGGACUGAUUAUCGGAAUAAUUGCUGACCUAAAGAACAGCAGCUUUACUUUCUUGAUAGACAGGGUGACAGUUUCACUGCAAACCUAAUUCAGAGGAACUUAAUACUUGAAGAUCAACAGCAAAAUAUGGAGAACUGUGGAAAGCAUUUUUGUUAAGUGACUGACCAUCCUGAAAGAAAACAACGAGAUUUGUGUUUGGAUUUCAGCGUCUUCUCAAGAGUUUGGAGACAUGGAUGUGUAAGUCUUCACUCUGAAAUGUGAUGAAGAUAUGUAGAAGUGUCCCCACUGAAUUGGGGGUCAGGAGUUUUGAAGUCAGUGACUAAAUCCACAUUGACUUAAAUGAAACCCAUUGAAAAUUUUAAGGGCUCGGUCACAGCAUAGAGAUAAGUUACUGAAGCUUAGCAAUUUCACUGUUGUUUAGAUUAAUGUAUUUUAGAUAGCAUUUGCUGGUGGCAAAGGAUGCUGCUGUAGCCAGUUCCUGUAGGUCAGCUGAUGCACGAUAUGUCAUUAAGCUGUGGUAAUUCAUUUGGGCAUCGUCAUGCUAAGCUUUUCCCGGCUGUUGGUAUAUUCUAGAUUAUGAUCAACUUCAUAUUAUUAGACUGCAACACCGGACCUUCUGUUUGGUUGUAACUUUAUUCAGCUUUGUGAAAAUCUAUUUGGAUUCUUAAUACCGUGUCUUGUUAAUGCCAUCCUUAAACUGUGGGGCUCUAUAGACUGAUUUGAACUGAUGCCCAGAAUGUCCUUAGCUGACCCGAUUAUUUACUGCUGCUGAAUCUGUAUCCCAGACACACAAUCCAGUGUAUUUCACACUGUUACCUUUACAAUAUUGUUAUUUAUUAACUUCGGUUUACAGAUGGUAAAUUGAAGUGAUGAAGUGAUAGUGCAUGGGACUUUCAAGAACCCAGCAUACUUAUUGUUGCUUCAAAAAGGAAAACAGACGUAGCUCUAGCAAUUGAAUUAAACUCUUUCAAGGACAAAC